GACGAACGCUGGCGGCGUGCUUAACACAUGCAAGUCGAACGGAAAGGCCCUGCUUUUGUGGGGUGCUCGAGUGGCGAACGGGUGAGUAACACGUGAGUAACCUGCCCCUGACUUUGGGAUAACUUCAGGAAACUGGGGCUCAUACCGGAUAGGAGCUCCUGCUGCAUGGUGGGGGUUGGAAAGUUUCGGCGGUUGGGGAUGGACUCGCGGCUUAUCCGCUUGUUGGUGGGGUAGUGGCUUACCAAGGCUUUGACGGGUAGCCGGCCUGAGAGGGUGACCGGCCACAUUGGGACUGAGAUACGGCGCAGAAGCCUACGGGAGGCAGCAGUGGGGAAUAUUGCACAAUGGGCGGAAGCCUGAUGCAGCAACGCCGCGUGCGGGAUGACGGCCUUCGGGUUGUAAACCGCUUUCGCCUGUGACGAAGCGUGGGUGACGGUAAUGGGUAAAGAAGCACCGGCUAACUACGUG
rnacentral:rRNA from 1 species